rnacentral:rRNA from 1 species
CCUACGGGAGGCUGCAGUGGGGAAUAUUGGACAAUGGGCGAAAGCCUGAUCCAGCCAUGCCGCGUGUGUGAAGAAGGCCUUCGGGUUGUAAAGCACCUUCAGUGGGGAAGAAAGCCUUGGGGCUAAUACCCUCGAGGAAGGACAUCACCCACAGAAGAAGCACCGGCUAACUCCGUGCCAGCAGCCGCGGUAAUACGGAGGGUGCGAGCGUUAAUCGGAAUUACUGGGCGUAAAGCGCGCGUAGGCGGUCUGAUAAGCCGGUUGUGAAAGCCCCGGGCUCAACCUGGGAACGGCAUCCGGAACUGUCAGGCUAGAGUGCAGGAGAGGAAGGUAGAAUUCCCGGUGUAGCGGUGAAAUGCGUAGAGAUCGGGAGGAAUACCAGUGGCGAAGGCGGCCUUCUGGACUGACACUGACGCUGAGGUGCGAAAGCGUGGGUAGCAAACAGGAUUAGAUACCCUUGUAGUC